AAGAGACUUUUUUUUUUGGUUUUAA
rnacentral:sRNA from 1 species